AUACUUACGUAGCAGGGGGUACACGGCGACCACCAAGGUGUUCUCCCAGGGUGAGGCGCAUACACUGCACCUAGGCCACACUGACCUUUGUGAUUUCUCCAGAUGUGUGAAAAUGAACUGAACUGUGCAAAAAAAAUUUUUAACACUGAUUUUUAUUUUU